rnacentral:rRNA from 1 species
GUGAGGUAACGGCUCACCAAGGCAUCGACGGGUAGCUGGUCUGAGAGGAUGAUCAGCCACACUGGGACUGAGACACGGCCCAGACUCCUACGGGAGGCAGCAGUGGGGAAUAUUGCACAAUGGGCGCAAGCCUGAUGCAGCGAUGCCGCGUGCGGGAUGAAGGCCCUAGGGUUGUAAACCGCUUUCAGUAGGGAAGAAAAUGACGGUACCUACAGAAGAAGGUGCGGCCAACUACGUGCCAGCAGCCGCGGUGACACGUAGGCACCAAGCGUUGUCCGGAUUUAUUGGGCGUAAAGAGCUCGUAGGCGGUUCAGUUAGUCGGGUGUGAAAACUCUGGGCUCAACCCAGAGACGCCACCCGAUACUGCUGUGACUUGAGUACGGUAGGGGAGUGGGGAAUUCCUGGUGUAGCGGUGAAAUGCGCAGAUAUCAGGAGGAACACCAGUGGCGAAGGCGCCACUCUGGGCCGUAACUGACGCUGAGGAGCGAAAGCAUGGGUAGCAAACAGGAUUAGAUACCCUGGUAGUCCAUGCCGUAAACGUUGGGCACUAGGUGUGGGACUCAACCAACGAGAUCCGCGCCGUCGCUAACGCAUUAAGUG